GACGAACGCUGGCGGCGUGCCUAAUACAUGCAAGUCGAGCGAAUUUUUUCUGGUUCUUGCACUAGAAAAACUUAGCGGCGAACGGGUGAGUAACACGUAAAGAACCUGCCUCAUAGACUGGGACAACUAUUGGAAACGAUAGCUAAUACCGGAUAACAGUAUUUCUCGCAUGAGAGAUAUUUAAAAGUUGGUUAUGCUAACACUAUGAGAUGGCUUUGCGGUGCAUUAGCUAGUUGGUGGGGUAAAGGCCCACCAAGGCGACGAUGCAUAGCCGACCUGAGAGGGUGAUCGGCCACACUGGGACUGAGACACGGCCCAGACUCCUACGGGAGGCAGCAGUAGGGAAUCUUCCGCAAUGGGCGAAAGCCUGGCGGAGCAACGCCGCGUGAGUGAAGAAGGAUUUCGGUUCGUAAAGCUCUGUUGUUAGGGAAGAAUGGAUAUGUAGUAACUAUACAUGUAAGAGACGGUACCUAACCAGAAAGCCACGGCUAACUACGUG
rnacentral:rRNA from 1 species